GGAUUCAAUACAUAAAUAUCUCAAAUGCUAGUCAUUUGAUCGACUCAGCAAACUCUUAGCUUAGAUCCUCCAUUAACAUGGCUUGAACAUCAGUGACAUCGCCUAUGUGAAAACACUAAGAACAAGUAAGCAGGUGAGACUUGAACUUGUCCAGUUCAUCCAGAACCUCAUCUUCUGGUCUGUAAAUGAGAUCAAUCAUUCGCCAUAUCUGUAAUGUACCACCUCCACCAGUACUUUCUCCGUCAUCUGACACACUAACAAUCGUCCAUGGAUCUGCUACAUUCCAGUGGAAGUCGACCACCUUAUCCCUAUGUCCAGCAUGACGAAAGAAUAAGCCUGGAGGAGAUGUUGGAUCUUCCCUACUAGCACCGUCCUCCCAAUUACCAAUCCUUUCAUGAUCCCAGAUGUUCAGGAUACCAUCUUCCGCCGAACUUCCAAAGACUGAUGAUUUAUCUGGGGACCACUGUACACAAAGCACAGCAGCAGUAUGGCCCUCAAAGAUAUGUACAGGCGAUCCCACUCCCCCAGAAGUUAGGUUUCGUCGAUCAAACAUGCGGACGGUGUUGUCUGCCG
rnacentral:misc_RNA from 1 species